UAAAGUCGCCGGAAAAAACUCAAAGUUGUCGGAAUCGAACGAAAAAAGGAUGGGUAAGGUCGUAAUUGAAGGGGGAGCAAACUGUCCUGAAGGAGUCACCGGAAAAAAUGGCCGGAAGUGGUGCCACGCGCCGGCGUGUGGGCUCACGCGCCGAAGGUGUUGGCGGCGCGUGGGGGCGCGUGAUGAGCAGACUGUCCUGAAGAAAUUCUGGCCGGAAAGUACUGUAGCUGCUGGAAAGUCAAUAAAGUCGCCGGAAAAAACUCAAAGUUGUCGGAAUCGAACGAAAAAAGGAUGGGUAAGGUCGGAAUUGAAGGGCGAGCAAACUGUCCUGAAGGAGUCACCAAAAAAAAAUGGCCGGAAGUGGUGCCACGCGCCGGCGCGUGGGCUCACGCGCCGAAGGUGUUGGCGGCGCGUGGGGGCGCGUGUGUGGUUCUUUUCCGGUGAUUUUUUCUGGGGUUGGUCGGAAUUCUCUUCCGAACCUCGUGGUGGUCUCGGAUUUUUCACAACACCAACAAAAAAGGUGGUUUAGUUACGGACAGCCUCUUAAGUCGCCGGAAAAUUGCACGGCGACGAGGUCUUUCUUCCCGGAAGUAGCUGGAAUGACGC
rnacentral:lncRNA from 1 species